rnacentral:lncRNA from 1 species
CCCCUCACCACUCUGUUAUUAUAACAUGUAGGUGGAGCUCCUCCCACCUGUUAUUAUAUCAUGUAGGUGGAGCUCCUCCUCACCACUGUUAUUAUACAGUAGGGGAGCUCCUCCUCACCACUCUGUUAUAUACUUUAGGUGGAGCUCCCUCACCACUCUGUUAUUAUAUCAUGUAGGUGGAGCUCCUCCUCACCACUGUUAUUAUAUCAUGUAGGUGGAGCUCCUCCUCACCACUCUGUUAUUAUACAUGUAGGUGGAGCCCUCCUCACCACUGUUAUUAUAUCAUGUAGGUGGAGCUCCUCCUCACCACUGUAUUAUAUCAUGUGGGGAGCUCCUCCCACCACUCUGUCAUUACUACAUAUAGACCCUACUUUACGGACUUUAUUGUCCCCAUGGGGAAAUGUUGUUCCAGUGUCAUGUACACGUUUAGAGUGGUGUUUAAAUACCAAAACAAAUGGACAACUUUCAUAACAGUUACAGAACAAUAAAACUUGGCAGGUAAAAACUCAAUAUCAGCACAUACAAGCUUGAACCCCCCAAAAAACACAAAUCUGACUGAUGGGAGCUGACUGAUGGAGGCUGAUGGAGGGGAGCUGACGGAUGGAGGCGACGGAUGGGAGCUGACGGAUGGAGGCUGAUGGAGGGAGCUGACGGAUGGGAGCGGACGAUGGAGGCUGAUGGAUGGGAGCGACGGAGGGGAGCUGACGGAUGGAGGCUGAUGGAUGAGCUGACGGAUGGAGGCUGACGGAUGGAGGCUGACGGAUGGGAGCUGACGGAUGGAGGCUGACGGAUGGAGGCGACGGAUGGAGGCUGAUGGAUGGGACUGACGGAUGGAGGCUGAUGGAUGGGAGCUGACUGAUGGAGGCUGAUGGAUGGGAGCUGACGGAUGGGAGCUGACGGAGGGAGGUGACGGAUGGGGUGACGGAUGGGAGAUGACGGAUGGGAGCUGACGGAUGGGAGCUGACGGAUGGAGCUGACGGAUGGGAGCUGAGGAUGGAGGCUGACGGAUGGGAGCUGACGGAUGGGAGCUGACUGAUGGAGGCUGAUGGAUGGGAGCUGACGGAUGGAGCUGACGGAUGGGCUGACGGAUGGGAACUGACGGAUGGGAGCUGACGGAUGGGAGCUGACGGAUGGGAGCUGACGGAUGGAGGCUGAGCGAUGGAGGCUGACGGAUGGGAGCUGACGGAUGGAGCUGACGGAUGGAGGCUGACGGAGGGGAGCUGACUGGAGGCUGACGGAUGAGCUGACGGAUGGAGGCUGACGGAUGGAGGCUGAUGGAUGGGAGCUGACAGAUGGAGGCUGACGGAUGGAGCUGACUGAUGGAGGCUGACGGAUGGAGGCUGAUGGAUGGGAGCUGACGGAUGGAGGCUGAUGGAUGGGAGCUGACGGAUGGGAGCUGACGGAUGGAGGCUGACGGAUGGGAGCUGACGGAUGGAGGCUGACGGUGGGGGCUGACGGAUGGGGGCUGACGGAUGGGAGCUGACGGAUGAGGAGCUGACGGAUGGAGNNNNNNNNNNNNNNNNNNNNNNNNNUGUAGAGUAGUAGGGUCGUAGUAU